AGAGUUUGAUCCUGGCUCAGAUUGAACGCUGGCGGCAGGCUUAACACAUGCAAGUCGAGCGGGGAAGGGUAGCUUGCUACCUGACCUAGCGGCGGACGGGUGAGUAAUGCUUAGGAAUCUGCCUAUUAGUGGGGGACAACAUUCCGAAAGGAAUGCUAAUACCGCAUACGCCCUACGGGGGAAAGCAGGGGAUCUUCGGACCUUGCGCUAAUAGAUGAGCCUAAGUCAGAUUAGCUAGUUGGUGGGGUAAAGGCCUACCAAGGCGACGAUCUGUAGCGGGUCUGAGAGGAUGAUCCGCCACACUGGGACUGAGACACGGCCCAGACUCCUACGGGAGGCAGCAGUGGGGAAUAUUGGACAAUGGGCGAAAGCCUGAUCCAGCCAUGCCGCGUGUGUGAAGAAGGCCUUUUGGUUGUAAAGCACUUUAAGCGAGGAGGAGGCUACCGAGAUUAAUACUCUUGGAUAGUGGACGUUACUCGCAGAAUAAGCACCGGCUAACUCUGUGCCAGCAGCCGCGGUAAUACAGAGGGUGCGAGCGUUAAUCGGAUUUACUGGGCGUAAAGCGUGCGUAGGCGGCUUUUUAAGUCGGAUGUGAAAUCCCUGAGCUUAACUUAGGAAUUGCAUUCGAUACUGGGAAGCUAGAGUAUGGGAGAGGAUGGUAGAAUUCCAGGUGUAGCGGUGAAAUGCGUAGAGAUCUGGAGGAAUACCGAUGGCGAAGGCAGCCAUCUGGCCUAAUACUGACGCUGAGGUACGAAAGCAUGGGGAGCAAACAGGAUUAGAUACCCUGGUAGUCC
rnacentral:rRNA from 1 species